UUUUCUACUUGACCUUCCCAGCAAGCAACAUCGAGCUGAAGAACAAGAAGUGAUCGUCAAGACUUAGCAAAUUUGUCAUUGUACAUGUAGUAAGUGGAAAAUUAGAGGAGUUGCACAAGCAAAGAUUGGCGAAUCAGGACCCAAGGUUUCCGCUCAAGAACCAGAUCACGGCGACCGCGAACGAUCGCCACCAGCACGCCGAAGUGACGGACUCGAUGCCGAAGGCUAUCCGGCGAAUGUCCACCCAAGAACCGUCUGAAGACCCGGCACGUGACCACGUGGUCCCGGUCUAACCCACACCCAAGAUGUCGGCCUGCAAGGCCGGAGAUAUCAGCGCCCCCCCCCCUCCUCGUGCGUGGCGUGGGCGUACCUGCGAAGAGCAGGCCAGAUGCUCCAGAAACAAGUUCCGGACGCGGUCGAGGGCGAUCGUGGACCUCCGGAGCAAGCCAGCCACGAGAGUGUCAUCGGAGGUGACCAACAGCAGCAGAUGUAGCAGCCAACCUGCCCCGCACAACACACACACCUACACAGCGUGAGUCCAAGAAAUACAGUGCUUAAUUUAACUAAAA